AUUGAACGCUGGCGGCAUGCUUUACACAUGCAAGUCGAACGGUAACAGGCCGCAAGGUGCUGACGAGUGGCGAACGGGUGAGUAAUGCAUCGGAACGUGCCCAGUCGUGGGGGAUAACUACUCGAAAGAGUAGCUAAUACCGCAUACGAUCUAUGGAUGAAAGCGGUGGACCGUAAGGCCUCGCGCGAUUGGAGCGGCCGAUGUCAGAUUAGGUAGUUGGUGGGGUAAAGGCUCACCAAGCCAACGAUCUGUAGCUGGUCUGAGAGGACGACCAGCCACACUGGGACUGAGACACGGCCCAGACUCCUACGGGAGGCAGCAGUGGGGAAUUUUGGACAAUGGGCGCAAGCCUGAUCCAGCAAUGCCGCGUGCAGGAAGAAGGCCUUCGGGUUGUAAACUGCUUUUGUACGGAACGAAACGGCUCUGGUUAAUACCCGGGGCUAAUGACGGUACCGUAAGAAUAAGCACCGGCUAACUACGUG
rnacentral:rRNA from 1 species